UACGGGGGGGGGCAAGCGUUGUUCGGAAUUACUGGGCGUAAAGGGCUCGUAGGUUGCCAACUAAGUCAGACGUGAAAUCCCUCGGCUUAACCGGGGAACUGCGUCUGAUACUGGAUGGCUUGAGUUCGGGAGAGGGAUGCGGAAUUCCAGGUGUAGCGGUGAAAUGCGUAGAUAUCUGGAGGAACACCGGUGGCGAAGGCGGCAUCCUGGACCGGCAUUGACGCUGAGGCGCGAAAGCUAGGGGAGCAAACCAGGG
rnacentral:rRNA from 1 species